UGAUACUUUUGUGAUCUGGACCUCUCAUUCCUAGAGCCCGGGCAUCCCUGCCUCAGCCUGCUUGAAGUGACUGUCUCCUUUGAGAACACUUGAGAAAGCCCCUUGCCCGUCAGAAGCUUUUCCUGUCAACAGCUUUUCUUUCCCGGCAUGGAACUCAUCGCAGAAAACACUUCCCCAAGGGAGUUCCAGGCAGAAGGCUAUCCACCCUGUGACACGCAGAGCGUUUAGGAGAGGAGUAGAAGUCUCCUUCACAAUCCUCUGAGGUUACAGGCUGUGCUGAACAGCAAAGAAAAACACUACCUGACCCAAUGAAGGCUCUCAAUAGAUAUUUGCUGAAUAAAUAAAUAAAUGAAUGGGGGACUUCCUCGGUGGCACAGUGGUUAAGAAUCCGCCUGCCAG